GAAGUGGUGAGUGGUGGUUGAGAACAGGUCGCGAAUAUUGGAAAACACCAUGAUGUCGUGCUAACUUGAUCCUAAAUCGCAAUUCUAUUUUAUGGCAGUAAAGAUGAUUCAAAUCGAAUGCAAGUUUUAAUAUUGAAAGUUUAUCGAAGUUAAUCUCACAUCAGGCUAAUAGGAAGCUAUGUUGCUAAAAACAUAUUGUAAGUAAAUGAUAGUAUCUGUUCAUAAAAGGUUUGAUGUUUUGCGGGAAUUGAGCGAUGGCAUUAUAAAAAAAUGAGGAUUAAUGGCUUUAGAGAUUGACUAAUGGGAAGGAUAAAGGAUACCAAGGAUAUGAGAGAACGGAUGGAUGAUUAGUAUUUAUUAUGAAAUUCGCGUUUUCAUUGUAGAUGAGAAGUCCGAUUGAAGUAUUGACCUUACUUCUCUAAAGCAUGUACAUAUGAAAGGAUCAUUGUGAUCUGUUUGCUCAAAAAACUUUAAGAAUUGUAUUAAAACCUUGCUACUCUUUAAAAGUUUUUAUGUGUACCAUAGUUCUUGUAAUUGUCUCAACAAUUGUAAAAAAAAGAACAGCCUUUCAUUUGUCGCUCAGUCCUUCUUUAAAUUGAAAUGUUAUUCCUUACAUUACCUAACAUUUUUAAAGUGUUAAAAUAAUCUAAUAUUCAAUUUGCUACAUUGCCUUCAAAUCUUAUGAUAUAAAACGUUGGCCAAGAAUCAAUUUGGCCUCAGCAAAUAUAGCAGCCGAACUUAUACAAACAAAAUAAUAUACUAUGGUUUCUUAAUCCUGACUUAAGGAUGGAUUUUCUUAAAAUUUAAGGAUUUCAGAUGCAAUCUUUAAAAUUCCACUUUUGUUGACGACUAACGGUUCAAGCCUACAUUCUACCAAUGAAUUUCUUCUUAACCAAAAUUUGCACUCUUCAACUAGCUAAUGCUUCUUUCACCAUUCGAAAACAAUACUCAUAUUGUUUUAAUGAUCUUGUGUCGGUUAUCUCUGUCACAUUUUAGAAAGCGUUUUCAGAAAGUGAACCUUUUGUUUACACAUUUUUGAAUGUACUCGUGCAUUUACAGUUCUCCGUCGACUCCAAGUUAUUUAUACCUAAGUAUUUGUGCUUGAAAUUCUAUUUAGGUAGCAUCAUUCUACACUUUGACAUCUUUGCAAUAGUGUUUUAUUGCCAUCUACAUUUAAUGAAUAAGCUACUCCAACUACCUUACUAAGAACACAAACCCAGACCUCGUAACGUAACCACGUUGCUUUGUCCUAGUCGGUUUAACGUGUUUCGCUAACAUGCUGACAAAUUUUUACAUAAGAUUUUAAGUAUCGAUUCAUCUUUGAUAAUGAUGUCAUAUUUGUAAAUUAUUAUAUACAUACCGGGAUAAGAUAGGUUGUGGGGCAGAUCAUUAGUACAACAGGAAACGAUAUCAGAUCAAG